rnacentral:rRNA from 1 species
CUAUGCGCCUUGCCAGCCCGCUCAGGUGUGCCAGCCGCCGCGGUAAUACAGAGGUCUCAAGCGUUGUUCGGAAUCACUGGGCGUAAAGCGUGCGUAGGCGGUUUCGUAAGUCGUGUGUGAAAGGCGGGGGCUCAACCCCCGGACUGCACAUGAUACUGCGAGACUAGAGUAAUGGAGGGGAACCGGAAUUCUCGGUGUAGCAGUGAAAUGCGUAGAUAUCGAGAGGAACACUCGUGGCGAAGGCGGGUUCCUGGGCAUUAACUGACGCUGAGGCACGAAGGCCAGGGGAGCGAAAGGG